GGCGGAAUGGCCGAGCGGUCUAAGGCGCUAGAAUCAGGCUGUAUUACGUACUUUACAAAUCUAGUCCGAAAGGGCGUGGGUUCGAAUCCCACUUCCGUCA
rnacentral:tRNA from 1 species